AUAAUUUAGUUCAUUUAUAACCUUUGAGGAUCUAUAUAAUAAUGGUUUUGCUGGAUGGACUUGGGAAGCUGACUAAGUUCAAGAUUGAUAUACAAACAACACUCAAAAAAUGUCACUUCCAUUUACAAUUCUCUUUCUUUUCAUAUUCUCAACAUCAUCAUCUUAUUUCAUCUGUCCCGCACACUCCAAAAUCGCUCGACUUGGGAUUUCUCCAAAUCUGCUAAAGAAUGCACCAGACAGACCAACACAAAAAGUGGCUCAAUCUGAUUUUAAGUUUUUCUACUUUAAUCAGAUUCUGGACCAUUUCACAUUCACACCGGAAAGCUACCUGACAUUUCAACAACGAUACGCCAUCGAUUCCAAGCACUGGGCGGGUGCUAAAGCGAACGCACCAAUCUUAGCAUUUCUUGGACUGGAAUCAUCGUUAGAGACUGAUUUGUCUGCCUUCGGUUUCUUAGAGACAAUGCUCCUCACUUUAAAGCGCUGUGCGUCUACAUAGAGGUGUGUGUAUCAGUGUAUAUAUGUGUGUUUAUAUAGAUUUGUUGUAGCCAUGUUUGCAUGUAAGUACAUACAUUAUAUAAUGCAGCAUAGGUAUUAUGGGAAGACGAUUCCAUUUGGAUCAGUAAAAGAAGCGCGAGUACGUUGGGGUAUUUGAACACGGCUCAAGCCUUAGCAUGUUAGUUAGAUAGUUAAGAUCCGUGUGAUCUUCGAUAUAUUUAAAUAUAGGAAAUCUCUAGAAUAUUCCUCUAGCAUAGAUAUGAUAUUGGAUUCGAUCUCAUUUGUACAUUGGAUCCUAUAUAUACUUUGUCAUCGUGAAUAACAUUCUCCACAGAGUUUCACUUAUAACAUGAUAUCAGAAGCCCUAGCCUCCAGCUAGUUUGCUCGAUCCUUCUCCGCUCUUUCAUUUUUCUCUCUCUUUGUUUCUCACUUCUCUUUCUUCUUGUUCUUCGAUUUUCUUGCUCUGCUCCUCUCUAUGUUUUCUUCUAUUUUUCUAGUACAUCGCCAUGACCGACGCAACUCAAAAAUCCGAUAAACCGUUUGGCAUCUCCCAGAUCAAGGCGUACAUCCCCAUAACCCUUGACAUAGCUAAACUUAACUAUGACGUGUGGAGAGAGCUAUUUGAGACUCAUUAUCUCAGCUUUGGUGUUCUAGGCCAUCUCGACGGCACAUCCACUGCCACUCCGGCGACCCAACAGCAGUGGAAAGAACAUGAUGGCUUCGUCAAAAUGUGGAUCUACGGCACGAUCUCCCAAUCAAUCUUAGACACAGUUUUGCUUCGUUUUAUUUUUAUUUUUAGGUGUAUCUUAUUAUGAAAUAUAUCUAAUGCAGGAUAUCAAGAUAAUCCUCCGAAGAUUUGGGAGCAAUGUAAUAUUUUCUAAUGGACUGUCAGAUCCUUACAGCGUUGGCGGGGUUUUGGAGGAUCUUUCAGAUAGUGUAGUUGCCAUCACCACAAAUAAUGGUUCGCAUUGUCAAGAUAUCAAUUUGAAGAGGAAAGGAGAUCCGGAGUGGCUGGUGAUGAAAAGAGAGAAAGAAAUUAAAAUAAUUGAUUCUUGGCUUUCAACGUACCAAAAAGAUCUAAGAGAUCUUAACAUAUCAGUCUAAGUUUAGUUAUACUGUAGUGUAAAACAAUAAUAUUGAGAUGCA